UGGGGAAUAUUGGACACUGGGCGAAAGCCUGAUCAAGCCAUGCCGCGUGUGUGAAGAAGGUCUUCGGAUUGUAAAGCACUUUAAGUUGGGAGGAAGGGCAGUAAGCGAAUACCUUGCUGUUUUGACGUUACCGACAGAAUAAGCACCGGCUAACUCUGUGCCAGCAGCCGCGGUAAUACAGAGGGUGCAAGCGUUAAUCGGAAUUACUGGGCGUAAAGCGCGCGUAGGUGGUUCGUUAAGUUGAAUGUGAAAGCCCCGGGCUCAACCUGGGAACUGCAUCCAAAACUGGCGAGCUAGAGUAGGGCAGAGGGUGGUGGAAUUUCCUGUGUAGCGGUGAAAUGCGUAGAUAUAGGAAGGAACACCAGUGGCGAAGGCGACCACCUGGGCUCAUACUGACACUGAGGUGCGAAAGCGUGGGGAGCAAACAGG
rnacentral:rRNA from 1 species